CACGUAGGGCGCAAGCGUUGUCCGGAAUUAUUGGGCGUAAAGAGCUCGUAGGCGGUCUGUUGCGUCCGCUGUGAAAACUCGGGGCUUAACCCCGUGGCCUGCAGUGGAUACGGGCAGACUAGAGGUAGGUAGGGGAGAAUGGAAUUCCCGGUGUAGCGGUGAAAUGCGCAGAUAUCGGGAGGAACACCGGUGGCGAAGGCGGUUCUCUGGGCCUUACC
rnacentral:rRNA from 1 species